rnacentral:rRNA from 1 species
AGGGAAUCUUCGGCAAUGGGCGAAAGCCUGACCGAGCAACGCCGCGUGAGUGAUGAAGGCUUUCGGGUCGUAAAACUCUGUUGCCAGAGAAGAACGUCCAGGAGAGUAACUGCUCUUGGAGUGACGGUAUCUGAGAAGAAAGCCCCGGCUAACUACGUGCCAGCAGCCGCGGUGAUACGUAGGGGGCAAGCGUUGUCCGGAAUUAUUGGGCGUAAAGCGCGCGCAGGCGGUUGUUUAAGUCUGGGGUUUAAGUUCGGGGCUCAACCCCGUAUCGCCCUGGAAACUGGGGAACUGGAGUGUAGGAGAGGAAAGUGGAAUUCCACGUGUAGCGGUGAAAUGCGUAGAGAUGUGGAGGAACACCAGUGGCGAAGGCGACUUUCUGGCCUAUAACUGACGCUGAGUCGCGAAAGCGUGGGGAGCAAAC